AUCCCAGUUUCUGCAUCUCCUUCGCUGACCUGGGAUGCAAUAUUUGGGCCCCCUCACUAUAAGAAAGACAUCAAGGUGCUGGAUCAUGUCCUGAGAAGGGCAAAAAAGCUGAUCUGGAGGGUCUGGAGCACAAAUUUUAUGAGGUGCAGCUAAGGGAGCUGCGAAUGUUUAGUCUGAAGAACAGAAGUUUCAGGGUGGACCUUAUGGCUCUCUACAACUGCAUGAAAGGAGGUUGUGUGACUGAAUGAAGACUGCUGAGAAUGCUUGGAAGGGAAUAGCUUCAAUGACAGUAGGAGGGCUUUGUGAAGGAAAAAUGAGAAGCAACUCCAGAGAACAACAAUGAGACUCAGACAACAUUGAAAAGAGUUGGAAGCUGACAGAGAAGUCUCUGCUGUGACAGGAAGUCUUCCUAAGACUGGCCUGUACUGAACCCGCUGCAACUCCUGUAUUUGCAAGACCAACUAAAACCAAGGGUAAAAACUGGAAACCAUCUUCCAAGAAUGCACGUGAAUAGAGACGAGGUGACAUAAACAUCUAUUGUUUCUCUGCUGUCAUUCUGUAUUUGAAAGGGAAAUGUUCUGUUAGAAAAAUGCAUGAGCUGUUCCAUACUUAGUUUCAAACACAGAAUACAAGACUGAAUUCCUUGCCAAGGUCCAAAGUGAGGAUGUGCAAAAAGCAUCAGCAUGUGUAUCCAUUUGACUGUUAAAGAGAGAACAGAGCAAAGCUGCAAAAGAAAGGAACAUAAAUUAAACAUUAAGCCACUAUAAAAUCAUCAGAGAUAAAGAGGACACAAUGGGAAGCUGAACUGACCAGAUGGUCUGAAGAUCAAAUAUGCUUUUAGAGUUUUGUUUUCAUCUGUAAUAUUCAUGGAAGCAGAGAAAAGGAGAUAUUCCCUGAGUGUACUCUGAAGA